rnacentral:misc_RNA from 1 species
CUUUGCUUCCCCCCCAUGCCCAGGUGAUGUAGUAAUUUUAGACUGCAGGUAAAGUGCCUGCAGCGUAGACAGUGGUGACCCUAUAAUUUUAAAUUGAAAUACUUUAAAAUAAAAAAGUCAUUUUUAUUGUGCCAGUAUGCAACCAACCAUCAAAUCUUUGGUAUAUCAGAUUCAUUAAACAGAUGUUUUCCUAUUUGUAUUGAUAAUGUAUUAAAAGCUGUUUGUGCUUAAUAAAAACCAUCUUUUUAAAAUCUAAAAAAAC